AACGCGAAGAACCUUACCUACUCUUGACAUCCUAGGGAUUUGGUAGAGAUAUUGAAGUGCCUGAAAGGGAACCUAGAGACAGGUGCUGCAUGGCUGUCGUCAGCUCGUGUCGUGAGAUGUUGGGUUAAGUCCCGUAACGAGCGCAACCCUUAUCCUUAGUUGCUAGCAGGUAAAGCUGAGAACUCUAAGGAGACUGCCGGUGAUAAGCCGGAGGAAGGUGGGGAUGACGUCAAGUCCUCAUGGCCCUUACGAGUAGGGCUACACACGUGCUACAAUGGACGGUACAAAGGGCAGCGAAGCCGCGAGGUGAAGCGAAUCUCAUAAAGCCGUUCGUAGUCCGGAUUGGAGUCUGCAACUCGACUCCAUGAAGUUGGAAUCGCUAGUAAUCGUGGAUCAGAAUGCCACGGUGAAUACGUUCCCGGGCCUUGUACACACCGUACGUC
rnacentral:rRNA from 1 species